rfam:Triticum aestivum genome assembly, contig: Triticum_aestivum_CS42_TGACv1_scaffold_032489_1BL
GUGUGAAUCUCAGGGCGUUUCUCCUUUGGCACGCUGGCAUGCAUGUAUUGGUAACAGGAGCUAGCCAGGUGAGUUUGCAGGUGAAGAAGCUCCAGGGAGGCUAGAUAACCUUUGUCGUGCGUGCCAAAGGAGAAUUGCCCUGCGAUUCACCU